CAGCUAUUCCGCAGAUUUAUGUACGGACGAAAUGAGAAUAGUGCAAGGAAGAACACCGGCGCCAUAUGGUAUACUUCUAUUUGUUUUUACUAGCAUCUUGCACGAAAGUUAUCAAGCGCCACGAGGUGGAGAACCCCGCAUUGACUUCGAAAAAGCCUACUUUAAUUAUCAAGACAUCCAUAAGGUUUUCAGUACCCACCAAGAAUGGUGUUGUACGGUCUCAGCUAUGGAAGCUCGAGCGUUGAAGGACUACAUUGCAUUCAUUUUAAACAGCAUGGCUUAACAAAUGAACAUGUAUACUUGACAGCCUUGUUCAAGAAGGAUAGUGAAGCCAGGAAAGAAAAGGAAUUCAACGGAACAUUUUACGAAUGCACUGAUCAAACGUACGGAGUUUCUCAGACAGAUCGUAUAAAUCCCAACUGCGUGAAAAUUAAAGACGACCAAGACUCAACAGCAUAUAAGGAAUACAGGUUAUCAUUUUCUAACUACUAUGGCUGCUCCAUCUUCCGAGCAUUGCAACAAACGUCAGGUAUGAG